rnacentral:rRNA from 1 species
AACGAACGCUGGCGGCGUGCUUAACACAUGCAAGUCGAGCGGUAAGGCCCUUUCGGGGGUACACGAGCGGCGAACGGGUGAGUAACACGUGGGUGACCUGCCCUCAGCUCUGGGAUAAGCCUGGGAAACCGGGUCUAAUACUGGAUAUGACUCCAUGACGCAUGUUGUGGGGUGGAAAGCCUUGUGCGGCUGAGGAUGGGCCCGCGGCCUAUCAGCUUGUUGGUGGGGUGAUGGCCUACCAAGGCGACGACGGGUAGCCGGCCUGAGAGGGCGACCGGGCCACACUGGGACUGAGACACGGCCCAGACUCCUACGGG